rnacentral:lncRNA from 1 species
GAGAAGUUCGGCUGCCGAACGUUGCAUGGUUUUGCAUGCAAGUUAGGCCGCCGAAGGAGAGGCGGUCAGCCGCCUAUAAAGGACCCUCAGUCGGUGAAAUGGAUCAGAUUUGCUUCCCUUUCACUAACAAAGGUGAGUUCUUGCUGUCCUUGGAUUGUUUUCAUGGUUUUCUUCAAAUCUGUCAAAGUUAAGCAAGUUUUGAGUAAGUUUUAUGUUGGUUUUGAAGAGUUUAGAGCUUGGAGACUUUUGGAGCUUGGAUCUCCAUAACUUCAAGUUUAGGGUCACACCAGCCUUUGAUCUUCAAGAGG